rnacentral:rRNA from 1 species
UAGUAACGGCGAGUGAAGCGGGAAGAGCUCAAGCUUAAAAUCUCCGUGCAAGUUUUGCGCGGCGAAUUGUAGUCUAUAGAGGCGUGGUCAGCGUGAGCACUUGGGGCAAGUUCCUUGGAAGAGGACAGCAUGGAGGGUGAUACUCCCGUUCAUCCCUGAGUUGCUCGUGCGUACGACCCGUUUUCUUUGAGUCGCGUUGUUUGGGAAUGCAGCGCAAAGUAGGUGGUAAAUUCCAUCUAAAGCUAAAUAUUGGUGCGAGACCGAUAGCGAACAAGUACCGUGAGGGAAAGAUGAAAAGAACUUUGAAAAGAGAGUUAAAGAGUACCUGAAACUGCUGAAAGGGAACCGAAUCGUUUCCAGUGUCUAUAAUCUGUGGCAUAUUUCAUUGGCGAGUGUGUGCGUGCGUGUGCUGUGGCAGUGGCUUUUUUGGCUGCGCUCGGUGUGUGUGCUGUGUGUGCUUGCUGGUGCCCUGUGCUGCGGUGGGACGUCAAGGUCAGUUCGUAUGCUGCGGGAAAUGGCUGCCGAGGAGGUAGGGCUUACGCUUGCGUUUGUCUGUUAUAUCUUGGUGGACGAGUAGUCGCGGUUGGGACUGAGGUGCCUACAACGUGCUUUUGAGUGUGUCUGUGUCUCCGUGUGCGCCGUGUGCGGAUAGCUUGCUAUGCGUGUGUGGUUGUGUGUGGAUUGAUGCGGGCUUUAACUUGUGCCGUUC